rnacentral:rRNA from 1 species
UGGGGAAUUUUGGACAAUGGCGAAAGCCUGAUCCAGCAAUGCCGCGUGUGUGAAGAAGGCCUUCGGGUUGUAAAGCACUUUUGUCCGGAAAGAAAUCCUUGGCUCUAAUACAGUCGGGGGAUACGGUACCGGAAGAAUAAGCACCGGCUAACUACGUGCCAGCAGCCGCGGUAAUACGUAGGGUGCAAGCGUUAAUCGGAAUUACUGGGCGUAAAAGCGUGCGCAGGCGGUUUGCUAAGACCGUGUGAAAUCCCCCGGGCUCAACCUGGGACUGCAUUGGUGACUGGCAGGCUAGAGNAUGGCAGAGGGGGGUAGAAUUCCACGUGUACAGUGAAAUGCGUAGAGAUGUGGAGGAAUACCGAUGGCGAAGGCAGCCCCCUGGGCCAAUACUGACGCUCAUGCACGAAAAGGUGGGGAGCAAAACAGGAUUAGAU